rnacentral:rRNA from 1 species
ACUUCUACGGGAGGCAGCAGUAGGGAAUCUUGCACAAUGGAGGAAACUCUGAUGCAGCGAUGCCGCGUGAGUGAAGAAGGCCUUUGGGUUGUAAAGCUCUUUCGUCGGGGAAGAAAAUGACUGUACCCGAAUAAGAAGGUCCGGCUAACUUCGUGCCAGCAGCCGCGGUAAUACGAAGGGACCUAGCGUAGUUCGGAAUUACUGGGCUUAAAGAGUUCGUAGGUGGUUAAAAAAGUUGGUGGUGAAAUCCCAGAGCUUAACUCUGGAACUGCCAUCAAAACUUUUUAGCUAGAGUAUGAUAGAGGAAAGCAGAAUUUCUAGUGUAGAGGUGAAAUUCGUAGAUAUUAGAAAGAAUACCAAUUGCGAAGGCAGCUUUCUGGAUCAUUACUGACACUGAGGAACGAAAGCAUGGGUAGCGAAGAGGAUUAGAUACCCUCGUAGUCCAUGCUGUAAACGAUGUGUGUUAGACGUUGGAAAUUUAUUUUCAGUGUCGCAGCGAAAGCGAUAAACACACCGCCUGGGGAGUACGACCGCAAGGUUAAAACUCAAAUGAAUUGACGGGGACCCGCACAAGUAGUGGAGCAUGUGGUUUAAUUCGAAGAUACGCGCAGAACCUUACCAACACUUGACAUGUUCGUCGCGACUCUAAGAGAUUAGAGUUUUCGGUUCGGCCGGACGAAACACAGGUGCUGCAUGGCUGUCGUCAGCUCGUGUCGUGAGAUGUUGGGUUAAGUCCCGCAACGAGCGCAACCCUCACUUUUAGUUGCCAUCAUUUAGUUGGGCACUCUGAAAGAACUGCCAGUGAUAAGCUGGAGGAAGGUGGGGAUGACGUCAAGUCCUCAUGGCCCUUACGUGUUGGGCUACACACGUGCUACAAUGGCAUUUACAAUAGGAAGCAAGACGGCGACGUCGAGCAAAUCCUAAAAAUAU